GUUUAUAUAGUUUAAAAUAAAACAUAAUCCUUUCACGAUUAAAAUGAACUCUUAUAUUCUAUAAAUU
rnacentral:tRNA from 1 species